rnacentral:rRNA from 1 species
GAUUACGGGGCACCUCGGCUACUUGACCGUGAAAACCGUGAGAGUAAGUAUCUUCGGAAUAUGAUUAGAGCGGCGGACGGGUGAGUAACGCGUAGGAAUCUACCUAGUAUAAGGGGAUAGCCCGAGGAAACUCGGAUUAAUACCGUAUACCUCCUUCGGGAGAAAGAAGGCCUCUCUUUGAAGCUUUCGCUACUAGAUGAGCCUGCGUAAGAUUAGCUUGUUGGUGAGGUAAAGGCUCACCAAGGCGACGAUCUUUAGCGGGUCUGAGAGGACGAUCCGCCACAUUGGGACUGAGACACGGCCCAGACUCCUACGGGAGGCAGCAGUGGGGAAUAUUGGACAAUGGGCGCAAGCCUGAUCCAGCCAUACCGCGUGUGUGAAGAAGGCCUUAGGGUUGUAAAGCACU